GUGGGGAAUAUUGGACAAUGGGCGAAAGCCUGAUCCAGCCAUGCCGCGUGAGUGAUGAAGGCCUUAGGGUUGUAAAGCUCUUUCAGUAGGGAAGAUAAUGACGGUACCUACAGAAGAAGCCCCGGCUAACUUCGUGCCAGCAGCCGCGUUAAUACGAAGGGGGCUAGCGUUGUUCGGAUUUACUGGGCGUAAAGCGCACGUAGGCGGAUUGGUCAGUUAGAGGUGAAAUCCUGGAGCUCAACUCCAGAACUGCCUUUAAUACUGCCAGUCUAGAGGACAGAAGAGGUGAGUGGAACUCCUAGUGUAGAGGUGGAAUUCGUAGAUAUUAGGAAGAACACCAGUGGCGAAGGCGGCUCACUGGUCUGGUACUGACGCUGAGGUGCGAAAGCGUGGGGAGCAAACAGGAUUAGAUACCCGAGUAGUCC
rnacentral:rRNA from 1 species